rnacentral:rRNA from 1 species
GCUGUUGCACUGGCGGCGUGCUUACACAUGCAAGUCGAACGAUGAACCGCCUUCGGGUGGGGAUUAGUGGCGAACGGGUGAGUAACACGUGGGCAAUCUGCCCUGCACUCUGGGACAAGCCCUGGAAACGGGGUCUAAUACCGGAUACUGACCUGCCGAGGCAUCUCGGCGGGUCGAAAGCUCCGGCGGUGCAGGAUGAGCCCGCGGCCUAUCAGCUUGUUGGUGAGGUAAUGGCUCACCAAGGCGACGACGGGUAGCCGGCCUGAGAGGGCGACCGGCCACACUGGGACUGAGACACGGCCCAGACUCCUACGGGAGGCAGCAGUGGGGAAUAUUGCACAAUGGGCGCAAGCCUGAUGCAGCGACGCCGCGUGAGGGAUGACGGCCUUCGGGUUGUAAACCUCUUUCAGCAGGGAAGAAGCGAGAGUGACGGUACCUGCAGAAGAAGCGCCGGCUAACUACGUGCCAGCAGCCGCGGUAAUACGUAGGGCGCAAGCGUUGUCCGGAAUUAUUGGGCGUAAAGAGCUCGUAGGCGGCUUGUCGCGUCGGUUGUGAAAGCCCGGGGCUUAACCCCGGGUCUGCAGUCGAUACGGGCAGGCUAGAGUUCGGUAGGGGAGAUCGGAAUUCCUGGUGUAGCGGUGAAAUGCGCAGAUAUCAGGAGGAACACCGGUGGCGAAGGCGGAUCUCUGGGCCGAUACUGACGCUGAGGAGCGAAAGCGUGGGGAGCGAACAGGAUUAGAUACCCCU